CUUUGAGGUUGAUUAUUUAUUAGUUUAUUAUUUAUUAUAUAUGAUAUUAUCAUAAAAUAGUUCAUGUUUAGUUUCAUUAGUUGUAUAUUAGUGUGAAUAUUUAAUUAUAUAACUUAAAAGAAUGGCAGCGCCCUAUUUGUGACAUAUUAUUCACAACAUAAAAAAUGUGUGUUUCACACAACCAAUUAUGACAAUUUUGUGUUGUUAGCUUUAAAUUUUAAUAUCAGAGUGAACUGACUUAAAAUAGUGGUAUUUAAAAUUAUAUUCAAGUAAUGAAUUAUUUUAUACCUAUAUUAAAUUUUAAAAAUACUCGUAUUACCUACCUAUAUCGCAGAAACACUGAAAUAUUGUGAUAAAGACAACUUACAAAAUACAAACCCAUAUUUUCUUAACUGUUCACUGAAACCUAUACUGGCUACUUGAACGCAAUAAUAUUAUUAUUUUUGAUAAUUAUUGUAUUAACAUCAAACAUUACACCCACUUGCCACUUACCAUGAUCAAAAAAGACAUCUCCAUGUUAUUGUAGAAUAAGUAUAAUUUUUAAAAUAUAUUCAGUUUAUAAGGAUACUUAAAACAGUAAAACCUAUAACUUUACUUUAAGUCCAAACCAAUACAAUACUAAUUGAAGAAAUUUUGCUAAAAUUAAAAUAUCCACAUAUGCAAGAUUCCUGGACAUUUACAGGUGGCCCUUUUUCCGUGCCAGCUACAGUCAAUUUAUUUCUAUCUAUAACCAAAUACCUAAUUUAAGGAACCAUAUAACAUAUUAUAUUAUAAUAUAUUAUAAUAUGUACUAAAAUAUAUUUUAUGCCAUCAUAUAAUAUUAUAUUAAGACACAUUUCAACUUCCCUUCACCCUUCUAUACACUUCUAUAAUUCUUAUAAUUUAUAAUAAUAUAUUAAUAUAUUUUUCAAUCUAUUCGGUUAGUCAAUUCUACAAAUUUG